rnacentral:rRNA from 1 species
AUUGAACGCUGGUGGCAUGCUUUACACAUGCAAGUCGAACGGUAACAGGUUAAGCUGACGAGUGGCGAACGGGUGAGUAAUGCAUCGGAACGUGCCCGAGCGUGGGGGAUAACGCAGCGAAAGCUGCGCUAAUACCGCAUACGAUCUGAGGAUGAAAGCGGGGGACCGUAAGGCCUCGCGCGAUCGGAGCGGCCGAUGUCAGAUUAGGUAGUUGGUGGGGUAAAGGCCCACCAAGCCGACGAUCUGUAGCUGGUCUGAGAGGACGACCAGCCACACUGGGACUGAGACACGGCCCAGACUCCUACGGGAGGCAGCAGUGGGGAAUUUUGGACAAUGGGCGAAAGCCUGAUCCAGCAAUGCCGCGUGCAGGAAGAAGGCCUUCGGGUUGUAAACUGCUUUUGUACGGAGCGAAAAGGUCCUUUCUAAUACAAGGGGCUCAUGACGGUACCGUAAGAAUAAGCACCGGCUAACUACGUGCCAGCAGCCGCCGUAA